UACGUAGGGGGCUAGCGUUGUCCGGAAUCAUUGGGCGUAAAGAGCGUGUAGGCGGCCCGGUAAGUCCGCUGUGAAAGUCAGGGGCUCAACCCUUGAAAGCCGGCCGAUACUGUCGGACUAGAGUCCGGAAGAGGCAAGUGGAAUUCCCGGUGUAGCGGUGAAAUGCGCAGAUAUCGGGAGGAACACCAAUGGCGAAGGCAGCUUGCUGGGACGGUACUGACGCUGAGGCGCGAAAGCGUGGGGAGCAAACAGG
rnacentral:rRNA from 1 species